rnacentral:tRNA from 1 species
GCGGGCGUAGCUCAGCUGGCUAGAGCAUUAGCCUUCCAAGCUAAGGGUCGCGAGUUCGAAUCUCGUCGCCCGCU